rnacentral:lncRNA from 1 species
AAGAUGAGAGGCUAGAGACAGCAAUAGUUAAAGAACUGCAGUGCUUUGACCAACUUCAAGAGUGAAACUAGGCUCAUGCCUGUAAUCCCAACACUCAUAAGGCAGAGGUGGGUGGAUCGCUUGAGCUCAGGAGUUUGAGACCAGCCUGGGCAACAUGGCAAGACCCUGUCUGUAUUAUUUUUUUAAAAUAAUUUUAUUAUUUAUUACUAUUAUUUAUUUAUUUAUUUAUUUUUGAGACAGAGUUUUGCUCUUGUUGCCCAGGCUGGAGUGCAAUGGCGCGAUCGCGGCUUAUUGCAAUCUCCGCCUCCUGGGUUCAAGCAAUUCUCCUGCCUCAGCCUCCUGAGUAGCUGGGAUUACAGGCAUGUGCCACCACACCCAGCUAAUUUUGUAUUUUUAGUAGAGACGGGGUUUUUCCAUGUUGGUCAGGCUGGUCUGGAACUCCCGAUCUCAGGUGAUCCGCCUGACUUGGCCUCCCAAAGUGCUGGGAUUACAGGUGUGAGCCACUGUGCCUGGCCCAGGGGCUGUUUUUCUAAAGAAGGAAUAAAGGUAUUUAUGCAUAAAAAUACAAUGGACUGAGCCUAGUGGCUCAUACCUGCAAUCCCAGCACUUGGGAGGCCAAAGCAGGAGGAUUUUUUAAGACAGGGUCUCUCUCCCUGAUCCAGGCUGGAGUACGAUCUCAACUCAUGCAGCCUGGAACUCGCAGGCCCAAGGGAUCCUCCCACCUCAGCUUCUGACUAACUGGACCUACAGGCAUGCAACAGCACUCCUGGCUUUUUAUUUUUUUGUAGAGCAACGUUUUGUUUGCAUAGUAUUCCAUUAAUUAGGAAUCCUCUCGUAAGAAGUUUAGAUUGCUUUCAUGUUUUAUGUUAUAGGUAAUGCUGAAGUGAAAAACAACAAAUCUGCAAUGGUAUUUGAUUCUCAGUACCUUCCUUAAUACUGGAUGUU